CUGUGAGAAUUAUAGAGAGAGUAUUCCAACAGUCCAUUGACUAACCAUCCUCUCUCUCUCCCAACCUCUUCAUCUCCCAUUGACGAACCAUCCUCUAUCUCCCAACCUCUUCAUCUCCCAUUGACGAACCUGCACAGCGGAGAAGAAAAAUGACAAAUCUAGGUGAGCGACCUCGUACGGGCAUUGAUAAAGAUCGUCUUAUUUACUCCUAAUGUUUCACAAAAGGAAGCAGGAAUCUAUCUAAAAGGUGUUGACAAAUUAAUGUGCGAUUCAAGCUCAAUUUGUUCCAAAUUCAGAUGGAAAGUCAAUUUAACUUAUUCAGGGAUGCCCAAUCCCAAUGGAAGACGAUGUCGGUAAUGCUUUGUUUCUUUAAUGAGGUUAUGUUUGGCUAGGUGUUUCAAGGGAGCAAUUGUCUAUAAAUUUGGACGAGGAGACACAUUAUAUGUAUUUUAUUUAUGUAUUUUGUUUGAUCUCUUUGGUCAUAUUCGUUAACUUCUUUUUCUUUGCUUCUAAUGUUGAUUCCUCACCUCUUCAAGUAUUAGUCUACAAGGUGUUCGACAAAAUGCUCACAAGAACAUCUUCUUUGUCUUCAGCUGGUUAUGCUUAUAUCUAUAAGUUUUCUUCUUCAUAGUAUUACCUCUGUUUUAGUUUUCUAUUUGAUUUCAUAUUGACUGGUUCAUUUUCUGUUUUGUAUGUUCUUUUCCAUUUGUGCAGGUUAUAAAAGUUUAUUUAGAUAAAUAAAUAUUCAUUUUGUCCUAAGUAUUUAUCUCAUAUUACUCUAGGUUUCGUACCUUGAACUCCCUAAUUAUGUAUGAAAAUAAGAUCUAACAUCCAUUCAUUCACCUAUUUUGCUAAAGAAAUGCAAACUAUGAAGAACCCAUAUUACUGGAAUUCAUGCAGGUCCUUGCUAUCACCUUAUGCAGUUGGCAGACUUUGUCAAAUAUCUUUUGGAAAAAGCUGGUGGAAUGAUUAAUCUGACAGAUAUAUAUUGUCUCUUCAAUCGAGCAUGUGGUACUGGUAUGUGCUUUGAUGUUUGUCUGAGUAAUUUAUUCAUUAUUUUCCUGCAUUCAAUUUCCAUUAUUUGUGAUCGAAACAAUAUAAGAAAGUGAAUAUCAGAAUUGGCUCUCUUCUAUUCAGAGUUGAUCUCACUAGAUGACCUACUACAAGCAUGUUCAAUUUAGGAGAAGUUCGACAUGUAAAGAUUUAUUUACCUUGAAAGCUAUCCAUGUUCUUGUGAAUAUCUCUAAUAAAAUUUAGCCUAGUUCUAACCAUGAGUUUCAUAUUACAGUGUAAAAGUCAUAAUUACUUCAGGUAAAUUCUAGAUUUCAAUAGUACUUUUAUUGUUCCUUAGUCCUUUAAAUUCUUAAAUUUGAUAUACAUUUUUGUAUUUUCUAUUUGAUUUGUAGUCUUGUUAUGCUUCAGAAAUUUGAUAGUGGUGUCAUGGUGAUCCAGAAUAAGUCCCACAGUGAUGAGAAGGAAGGCAUUUAGAAAGAACAUACAAUGUUUAUCACCUGAAGAAAAAACAAGUUUACAAGCGAUAGUAUUUAAACCAAAACCAACAAAUUGUAGGAGUAUUCAUGACUCAUUAUAAUCUCUUCAAAGGUUAAUCAAUAUAGAUCUCCAAAGAACCUGAAUGAGUGUCUAAUUCUUUCUACUUCCAGUAAUUUGACAAAUCUUGAAAACGGGGAAUUUGAAUUUCACUCAACCUCGCAUAUUAUUCCAAGUGUUGUAAAUCACAAUGAAUCUGAAAAUAUUGAUGUUGAGGAAUUGCAUAAAUUCAACUUCAAUAAAGACCUAGAAGAAGAUAAGAUUUUUUUUUUCAAGAGAAUUAAGGUUUAACUAGUUCACUAGUCAUAUUUUGUAUAUGUUACAGAAAGAAAUGUAAUAUAUAAUAAUAUGAGGAUAUAUUUUUGUAUUAAAAAUAUUUAUUUUGAGCUCC